CAGCUUGUUGGUGAGGUAAUGGCUCACCAAGGCGUCGACGGGUAGCCGGCCUGAGAGGGUGACCGGCCACACUGGGACUGAGACACGGCCCAGACUCCUACGGGAGGCAGCAGUGGGGAAUAUUGCACAAUGGGCGGAAGCCUGAUGCAGCAACGCCGCGUGAGGGAUGACGGCCUUCGGGUUGUAAACCUCUUUUAGCAGGGAAGAAGCGUGAGUGACGGUACCUGCAGAAAAAGCACCGGCUAACUACGUGCCAGCAGCCGCGGUAAUACGUAGGGUGCAAGCGUUAUCCGGAAUUAUUGGGCGUAAAGAGCUCGUAGGCGGUUUGUCGCGUCUGCUGUGAAAUCCCGAGGCUCAACCUCGGGUCUGCAGUGGGUACGGGCAGACUAGAGUGCGGUAGGGGAGAUUGGAAUUCCUGGUGUAGCGGUGGAAUGCGCAGAUAUCAGGAGGAACACCGAUGGCGAAGGCAGAUCUUUGGGCCGUAACUGACGCUGAGGAGCGAAAGGGUGGGGAGCAAACAGGCUUAGAUACCCUGGUAGUCCCCCCCGU
rnacentral:rRNA from 1 species